GUCAAAGCAGGAUCUCCUUUAUUGAGAAAACGCACACAGCUAAUAUAAUGUACAGGAGCCAAUCAGGAUAAAGGUCAGCAGGGUGGGGAGAAUUUACAUCUACACCCAUCCUACUGGCAGUAACGGGAGACAGGAGCUGUCUGUGAAGGCAGAAGGGUUCUGAGCCUAUCCUAGAGGUGGUCCAAUUCUUCAUCACAACCCAUGGCAAUGCCUUCUGGCUAACUGCUAGGUACUCUCUUAGCCACAGGUGGCCCCAGGACUGGGAAGCGGGUGCAGCCAGCAAGGUAAGUUUCCUCUUUUCUGAUGCAACAUGCUCCACAGUUACAUUAUGCCCUACAAUGAUCCUCCUGAACAUCACCAGAGGGAUGUUCAAUUUCUCUGUGGCACCACUGGGCUCGAAAUGUAGGUACUGAAAGAAGCCAUCUCCUUGGCUGGCUUCUCUGAGGACAUGGUGUGGUGGGGCGGGGUGAUGGGAGCAGCCCAGCUGCUCCAGGGGGCUUCUCUGCUGUUCUACAUCCCUCAACCAUCAGCUGCCCACCCCCCUGAGGCCAUCUGUCCCACAGCCCAUGUGAUGCAGCCACUCACAGCCUCCAAGGGCCUUUCAGUGUCUGUCCCACCCUUUCCAAUUCCAUCACUACUGGCUUCCAGAUAUCUGCAGUUUCUGUAGAAACUCUUCACUACUCUGAACCAGCUAGUUAUCAGGUUCAUAUUUUGGUGCCUUAAACUCCAGGGAAAUCAUUCUUAUUUAAUUAUUCACAAGUAUUUUCCUUCCAGAAGUGCUAGACACCACCAUGGCGGGGGCAGGGGAGGCACGACUCAGCCUCCACAGGGUCAGUGCCCAGGGCCCAAUCCACUCUAAGUGUGACUCAUUCCUUCUUCCUCACCUAUGGUCCUUUAGGGGACCUGGUGCUCAAUCCCUGCAUCUGGCAGGGCCCUCUAAACCCCUAAGACACAUCUGCACAUGUCAGAAUUCAAGGUGUGGACAGGAUUCACGUUCCUCCCAUGGGGCUAUUGGCACAACCCAGACAGGGUUGUGGCUAAAGAGCUGCCCAAGUGUCCCUUAACCUCCCACACACUGGGACUCUCUACAUCUCCACAUUUCAUCAUAUCUGAGUCUUCACUUUGAUCCAGUCAAAACUCUUUUUUGAAAGCUUCUAUGGUUAUGUGACAGAAAAAGAAAGAAAAACCUUCACUCUUUCCCUUCUUUUUAUAAGAAGAAAGCAGAGCUGGUAGUGUACCUCAGUACUGGAGCAUGCGUGAGGCCCUGGGUUCAGUCCCCAGACCCAGAAACAAACAAACUAUUGUCUCCAGGAGAAAUAAUCAACAUUUGUGUUUUGGAGAUAUUUUUGUUCUAAUAAGUGUACUAAUCCAAAAAUCCUCCCGGUGGAAGGGAAACCUCCAUUGGAUCAUGCAUCCAAUCUGGCUCCCAGGAUGGGUUUUCCUUCCCCAGCACUGGGCACCUGGAGGAAGCCUGUUGGGAAAACAUAACGGCAGCCGCACCCCAGAGAAAAACCCCAGCAUGGCAUCUAACGACCCUCCUUCUCUUCUUUGUUUCUUUCAUUGGCGCGAAACGUUCCCGCCAGUGCCAAUGUUCAAAUCGUGCUGAUGGGAAGCCUUAGCCCCAAUUAGAAUUAACUUCUUGGGCUCCGGAACUGACAUAUGGAAGAGCUUGCCAAUAAACGGGCGACCUGUUAUCUACCUCAGCCCCUGCUACCUCUCUUAGACCUAUGUAAACACACAGCCUUUUGUAAUAAAGCGGAAACCUCUUUGGUAAUCUGUGUCGUGUGAUGCGGCGUCUUCCCAUCUUACAAAGCCAGGAACUUUAGAACAGGAAUUGGGGUCCUGUCAGGGAGGGAGGAAGCCAGGAGCGAGAGCACAUCCUCUGGGAUGGGUUGGGGAUAGAAAUGAACUUAUGAACUGCCACUAGAACAAGUAGAGACUGUGCUGGCAUGGCAGGAGCAUGGAGUCAAAUAGAGGACGAUAACUAGAGUGGAGUGGAGGGACAUCUGUCUGAGCAUCCUCAUAAGGAGGGUGAAGACAGGUGAGCCAUGAGGAGGUAACCAUGGUGGGACCCACCUGUAAUCUCAGUGGCUCCAGAGGCUGAGACAGGAGGAUCAUGAGUUCAAAGCCAGCCUCAGCAACUUAGAGAGGGCCUUAGCAACUUUGACAGACCCUGUCUCAAUAGAAAAAAUGAAAAAGGCUGGGGAUGUGGCUCAGGGGUUAAGCGCCCUGGAUUAAAUUCCCGGUACCAAAAGGAAAUUUGCCAUCUUAAUCAUUUUAAGUGUACAAUUCAGUGGCAAUAAUCACAUCCACUGUGUUGUGCAACCAUCAUCACUAUCCACUUCCAGAACUUUUUCAUCAUCCCAAACUGAAACUCUAUCCCAUUAAGCAAGAACUACCCAUUCCCUUCUCCCUCAAGCCCCAGUAAAUUCUGCCCUACUUUCUGUCUCUAUUAAUUUGACUCCUCUAGAUAUUUCAUAUAAAUGGGGUCAUACAAUAUUUGCUUUUUUGUGCUUGGCUUAUUUCACUGAGCAUGUUUUGGAAGUUCAUCCAUGUUGUAGGCAUGUACCAUAAUUCCAUUCCUUUUAAAGACUGGAUAGUAUUCCAUUGCCUGAAGAUGCCACAUUUAGUUUCUUCAUUCAUCUGUUGAGAGACAUUGGGUUGUUUCCACCUUUUGGUUGCUGUGAACAACACUGAUGUGGGCACUGAUGGACAAGUCCUUGUCUUUUUUUUUUUUUUACAGUUUCCUUCAGUUUGCAGUCUGGUGUGCUGCUCUUGUCAAUAUUGAAAGAUUCAAGUCUUAAAGGGGAAAGGAGACCUACCUCAGCCCUCUUUCCCUACCCAACACUCUCCCAGGCUCCAGAUGGAGGAAACUUCACCUCAGAAUGCCACAGAGCAACACGCACAAAGUUGGAAACCACAGUCAGAGGAACAUCCAAGGAGGACAUGCAAGAGGAAAGGUGUGGCCAACCCAAUCUUCCAUUUCUCUCUCUGAAAGAGAUGCUCCAUCAGCAGAGGAGAUGGGGUGAGCCAGCUCUAUAUCUAUUUGAGGAUUGCAUUUAUAAUACUUAAAAAUAAGUCUGGGAAGAUAGGGAAGAAUAUGUUUACAGUGCUCAUUUUGGAGGAUGGAAUCAUUGGUGCUAUUCCUUUCAUAUUAAAUAAAAAAAUAGAACUGUUUCUACUAAUGAAUGCUAGAUUGAUUACUCAGAUAAAAAAUAUAACAAAAUAUUCAUUUCAGUGCUUGCAUUCAAAAUACAACCAUCCAACUGUCCCUUCUUUUAAGCAGGAAGUUUUAUGCAUUAGAAUUGUCACAGAUUUUAUUAAGAUUUUUGACAUGUCUUCAAGACAGUGAGCCUGUGUCAUUAACUGAAUUAUCCAUUGUGUGGCUAAUGCUAUUAGGAAACUACAAAUAAAACAGACAUAUAAUUAUACUCAAAUUACUGAAAUAAAAAAUACAGACCAGAUCUGUGCCAUGCACAUAAUAUAAAACAAAUUUCCACCAAUCUCAGUAAGAAUGAUGCUGUCACAUGUAUGUAUUUGGAAAGUAGGAGGCCUUACACACUCUAUGUGCUUAGUGUCCUGGGAGUGCAGCUUUAAGGAGAUCUAAGAGCUCAGCUGUUCUUCCUAAUGUCUUCAGCUCUGUAGCUCAUUGCCCUGCAGUGGGCAGGAGUAGGCCUUGUCACCUUGAAUACCUCCUUGGCAAGUAACCCACAGGAACAAAGCAGGCAGGGUAUCCGAUGGUGACUGUGUCAUUUAUCUUCCAAGUGCAAACACUUUUAAGACUGAAAACGGGAGUGACUUCAUUCAUUUUCUCAUGCUAUAAAAUAAUAUCUGAGACUGAAUGAUUUAUAAAGGAAGGAGACUUAUGUGGUUCCUGGUUCUGGCAACUGGGAAAUCCAAGAGCACCCACUGGCAUCUGCUAGGCUUCUGGUGAGAACCUCAUGCAGCUUCAAAUCCUGAUGGACAGUGGAAGGGCAAACAGAUGAUUGUGAAAGAGGCAAGACAACAACCCAUUGUCUCAUAGUAAUUAAACCAGUGCCUCAAGAGCAGGGACUCCUUCACACAGAGGCACUAGUCCAUUCUUGAGGGCUCUGCUUCCCAGACCUGAGCACUUCUUGCUAACCCCCACUUCCCAACACUGCUACAAUGAGAAACUAAUGUUUCAACACAUAAAUUAUUUUUCAGGGGCACACUAGAACCCUAGCAUGGAGCUAUUGCUAAUUGCAUGGAGAAAAUUAGUAUAAACUGGGACCAGGAAGGUAAAUCAGGAAGUGAUGUAUGUUUCCUUUAAAAUAAAGCAUAUAGAAUGAGGGGGCUUCUGGCUACAACUAGAGAGUACACCCCCUUCCAGCCACUGACGGACAAUAUUUGAAAGCAAAUCUAAUCUCGGCAGUUUCCCCAAGGGAAUCAUUGCAGGCAUCCAGGACAAGCUUCACAAGCUGUGGAACUGACAGGACUCUCCCCUGUUACACUACGUUUUAGUCAGCUGUUUUGCCACUGUGACAAAAUGACUCAACCAGAACAACUGCAGAGAAGGAAAAGUUUAUUUGAAGGCUCACGGUUCAGCGGUCUUAAUCCAUAGAAGGCCAGCUCCAUUCCUCAGGGCUCGAGGUGAGGCUGAACAUCAUGGUGAGAGGGUGUGGCAGAGGGAAGCAGCUCACAUGAUGAUCAGAAAGCAGAGACUCCACUCACCAGCUACAAAUAUAUACCCCAAAGCCAAGCCCCAGUUCCCACCUCCUCCAGCCACACCCCACCACUUCAGUUACCACUCAGUUAAUCCCCAUCAGGGGGUUAAUUCACUGACUGGGUUAAGACUCUCACAACUCAAUCCUUCUCCUCUGAGCCUUUUUGCAUUGUCUCACACAUGAACUUUUGGGGGACACCUCAUAUGCAACCAUAACACACUUCAAACUGGAAACAACUAAGAUGGUCUGUAGGGCAUGAUGUAACAUGUGGGGCAUGUUGCAUCAGAAAAGAGGAAACCUAACUUGCUGGCUGCUACCCGCUUCCCAGUCCUGGGGCCACAUGUGGCUAAGAGAACACCUGGCGAUUAGCCAGAAAGCAUUGCCGUGGGUUGUGAUGAAGAAUCGGACCACCUCUAGGGUAGGCUCAGAACCCUUCUGCCCUCACGGACAGCUCCUGUCUCCCAUUAUGGGUAUACAGGUGAACUCUCCCCACCCUGCUCACCUUUAUCCUGAUUGGCUCCUGUAUAUUAUAUUAGCUGUGUGUGUUUUCUCAUUAAACGAGAUCCUGCUUUGA
rnacentral:lncRNA from 1 species